GCCCCGGUAGCUCAGCCGGAUAGAGCAAUCGCCUCCUAAGCGAUAGGUCGCAGGUUCGAAUCCUGCCCGGGGCGCCA
rnacentral:tRNA from 2 species